GGCCCGUUUCAAGAAGGAGGUUUAACAAACUCUGAGUUAAAACGAAACUCUGAGUUGAUUUACUCUGAGUUUGCAAACCUGGAGUUUUCGGUUCCAGAACAGCUGAAAAGAGUUGGUUUAAGCAACUCUGAGUUGUCUGACUCAGAGUUAAGCGCGUGCACCGCAACGAUACGAAGCCCUGAUCAAUGGAGUGAAGCUAUUACGAGUCACCAUGGCAACAGGACAACAAAAGACGUCUGGAAAUGGAUAUGAUACCUCAAGCAUAUAACGACUACGAGCCUAUAUUCCGUAGAAAAAGCAACACGGCUGCAGCGGCAAAAGAGAAAGAAUUAGCUUGGAAGAAAAUAGCUGCUCGAGUCAAUGCCCAACAGAAAGAAGGCAGAGACUAGAACAACUGGUGGAGGACCUGCACCUCCACCACUGACACAUGCAGAGGAGAAGGCACUCAGCCUGAACACUGGAAAGCAGGGGCUGAAGGAAUUCAUCAGAACUCGUCACUCCCCGGGAUACAAGUGCAUGUGUAAAAUGUAAGAGGUCUACCUAUAUAUUUGAUUUUUUACAUAGGCUACUUUUGAUAUAUCCAUUUCUUACUCUGGGUUGGGUUCUUUGUUGGUCUUAACAUAUUCUGAUGGUAAUAUAUGAAUCCUCCUGUCACAACAGAAGCCCAGGAUGUUGUAAGUAUACUACUAAAUAAAGCUUAAAUUAUGAUAAGCAGUAUUAUAAAGUGUAAUAUUAAUACAGUUUAUACA